CACGGACAUUCACAAUGACAGUCAGCACUUCUCAGCACACUGUGGAUCACACGCAUUAGCCUGGCACCUGGCAGCGCCCCGAGGGUCACAUUACUGGAAGAAGAAACCUGGAGCUGAUUCACAAAAGUAGAGUAAUCCUGUCUGCAGUUGAGAGUUGAAGCCACGAGGUGGCGCCCUCAGCACACUACUUGAGCUGUUGGGUUUUCCAGCGGCAAUGACCAGCACGGGGACAGAGGAUGUCCUGAAGAGGGGCUCUGUCCGCUUCAGGACGUCCAGGGGAGUCACCUGUGUAACACUCACAGGAAAUACAUGCUUCUGUGGGUACACAGCUGGGAACAGGGUGAGGCAAGUGAGUUAUCUUGGGUGCAAAUUUUAAGGGGCAAUGAGCGCCCCUCUCCCCUCACCCUGGUCCCGGCCCUGGGCCACCGGACUGGGACAUGUCUGUGAGGACCAGAGUUGGGGAGCGGCUCCCUGACACCCCAGGAGAGAGGGUGAUGCUUUGACCUCAGCCCUGGUCAGGUGGGGCCUACACCACGGGGACGCUAAAGCCCCUAUUCUGAUCCAGAGGCUGUGGCCGGAAUAAACGGAUGUACUUUCUGGGAGGGGAUUAAGGGGAUGGACGAGGUGCUGCCCCAUCCCUAUUCCCACUAUGAAUUGGAGCCACAGGGACAUGGAGGGUGUGGAGCUGAGCCGAGUGCGUCCCUGGAGUGCCCUUUCCUGUCUGCACUCGGGCUGGGCCAGCCUCCUGUGGCUCCUGCACAUGGCAGCCCCCCUCAGCUGGAGGAGCCACAGUGGAGCAGGCGUGGAGUCCGUGGCACCAUGGCAGGGGGUCUCUGUCCAGGGCCUGGGUACUCGGUGACACUGGGAGAGAAUGCAGCCUGCAGCGUGGCCUCGGAAACUGGAAUAAGAGAGCUGACCUAUGAAGGAGGCACGGGAAGCUGGGUGCAGAGAUGACCGAGAAACUGGCAAACAUUUUGGUAAACCAGAGCACCAUGCUGCGUGAGUGAGGAGUAACCAAGGUGGAAGUGUUAAGGAUGAGGUGGAACGAAUAUUCAUACCAUACAGUAACUAACACUGAACACAGUCACCUGGAAGAGAAGACUGGGGAGAAUCGGGACAUUAAGGCUCCUGGGCACUUGCGGUUUUUACUCCGGGUCAGCGCUGUCCAACAGGGAUAUAGUUUGAACCACGUCUAUAAUUAAACGCUUUCUGGUAGCCAUAUUAAAAAAGAAACAGGUGAAAUUGGUUUAAUAACAUAUUUUAUUUAGGGCAAUAUAUGCAAAAUACUAUCAUUUCCACAUAUAAUCAUUUAUAAAUAUUAUUUAUUGAAACAUUUUGUAUUCCUUUUUUUAUACCAACUCUUUCAAAUCCGGUGCAUAUUUUACAUUUAUAGCAUAUUCCAAUUUGGAUACUAAAUUUCUGCUGCAAAUAUUUUAUCUGUAUUUAGAGUUUACAAAAUUUAGAGUUAAAAAAAGAUUUUCAAGUUGUUCUAAACAUGCGUUUUUAGUAAUUGGAUUGUGUAUCAAUUUCUAAAUUAAGAUUAAAUAAAAUUGAACAUUUAAGUGCUCGGUUGAUCUAAUUUCAAAUGUGAUUAGUGGCCCUACUGUAUUGGAUAGUGCAGUGGUAGGCAUUUAAAAGUAAAGUAUUCAUGUUAAAAAUGUUAAGA
rnacentral:lncRNA from 10 species